AUUAUUCUUGAUUCGCUUGUAUUAUUGGUAAAAUAUAAAAUCUACUGCAAACGUGCAAAUGUAUGGAACGCCAUAGUUGCCUCAUGUUGUUAAAUUUCUUUUUACCUUCACUUGAAAGCGUCUUGUUAUGUCAAAUAUGAGUGUUGUGUUUGUCGAUUUGUCUAAACAUUGCCUUAUUAAUGCGUAACAGUAGUCUAAUCACUACUUCAAAUUGUUAUGUUGACUUGUCCUUACAUUGUUUAAUUAUUUCAAACAGUAGUGUUAUCAUGUCAAAAUAUCGGAGGCUAUGACGUUCCAUAGAAAUGUUUAACUGUUUUUACUUUUACCUGCACAGCUGGAUGAGCGGAAUUUAUAAAUAAUAAUUAGAAAGCGAGAAACUAGAUAGAUAGAUUUAUUUCGGCAUAUGAAGCAUAUACAUAGUUGACAACAUAACAUAGGAUAAGAUAGUGAGCAUUAUUAAAUACUAUAUCACAUACGAGAAAACUAUAAAAACUACGAACUACGAACCUAACAGUACUUUCUUGAUCAACAUUUGUAUAUUUAAGAGUCAAAAUGCGGAACAUUUAAACGUUGUUUUUUGGUAUUUUGUUGAUUCUACUUGUUUUUCCGACAAAAGAAGCAGGUUUAGCUGAAGCGAAAAGCUAUUACCUGUUUUCUUGUCCACUGAGUUCGUCGCAAUCCUCUCUUUCCUCGAGCAACACCAAAGACUGCCCAAACAGAAGAAAAAGAGACAUUCCGUAUGGCUUUAGACAUACCUAUAUUCAAAUAGAAUCAAGAUGCUACGACUGGGGAGACUUAAAUUACCCUCCUCGGGCCAGCGAUUGCGAUGAUUGUGAACUUUAUUGUUGCGUGCAAAAGCGUAGGCUAGAGCUUACCGGAACUACCUCGUGUGCUAAUAGAAUCAGUGAGUUUGAAUCUGCCUGGACAAAUAACAGGAGAACAUAUAACUUCCUUUUUUGGAACUCCCAGACGUAUUCCUAGAAGAUGAGUAAAUUUCUGAACUCAUGCGACGUCAGUGUAUUUUUCGACAAAGAAAUACAUAUAACUUUGUAACAUCUAAUGAAAUUAAAGAAAUGUAUGAAGUUGUUACUUUCAUUUUAUCCCUUUCAGUUUUAAAUUUAUAGCCACAAGUGCACUAGACUGGAAUAUGUAGAUGAGCUAUAUGGAGACAUUAAAUACAUAAUAGCCAUUGUAAACAGAAUUAUAGGAGACUGUUUAUUUCUAAGAGGGACAACUCCACAAACCAUAUAGGAACAAGUUACUGUGCUGUAUAAUUGUCUCCCUUAGCUUCUCAUAUUUCAUAUUAUCAUUUUUAAACAAGUUAUGUCAUAUAAAUUAAUCAAAAACACAUAAUGAAAAUAUAUGUAUACUAAAAACAAUUAAAAACACAACUUUAUACAUGGUUAGUUACCACUACGGACCUACUUCUCUUGAAGUUUAUAAAAUGUAAUAUUACUACUAAGUAUUUUAUGGUAUGAGACUUAAAAUCUUUUCAUCUAUAACUUCUCAAUGUCAGUAUAUAUGCAUUGAAUCUAGAGGAGGCAUAAAUAAACUUUGACGUAUAUCAUUUUAAAAGGUUACAAUAGAGAAAUACAUGCUUUUCA